rnacentral:lncRNA from 1 species
CCCCUCCGUCCGUCCGUCCGUAUCCGCAUUUUUCAAUUUUCCUGUAAUUUACAUUUUCGGCCGUUUCGCUUCGGUCGUUUCGUUUCGGUUGUUUCGUUUCGUUCGUUUCGUUUCGGUUGUUUCGUUUCGGUCGUUUCGUUUCGGUCGUUUCGGUGGUUUCGAUGGUUUCGGCCGUUUCGUUUCGGUCGUUUCGUUUCGACGUUUCGCCUUUUAGUACAUGCCGUUCGUUUGUGGGUACCUAAGUGGUCUGACCGCAAAAAUCUUUUGUUGCAAACAUCACAUUCAUAAGGUUUGUCUCCAGUGUGUGUUCGUUUGUGGCUAGCUAAGUUGCCUGAGUGGAUAAAUCUUUUGUUGCAAACGUCACAUUCAUAAGGUUUCUCUCCAGUGUGUGUUCUCUUAUGUAUAGUUAGGGUGCUUGGGUCAGAAAAUCUUUUGUUGCAAACAUCACAUUCAUAAGGUUUCUCUCCAGUGUGUGUUCUCUUAUGUAUAGUUAGGGUGCUUGGGUCAGAAAAUCUUUUGUUGCAAACAUCACAUUCAUAAGGUUUCUCUCCAGUGUGUGUUCGUUUGUGGGUAGCUAAGUUGCCUGAUCGCGAAAAUCUUUCGUUGCAAACAUCACAUUCAUAAGGUUUCUCGCUAGUUUGUGUUCUCUUCUGGCUAGCUAAAAUGUCGGAUCGCAAAAAUCUUUUGUUGCAAACAUCACAUUCAAAAGUCUUGUCCCCAGUGUGUGUUCUCCUAUGUCUUGCCAAAUUUCCUUUCACAGAAAGUACCUUGUUACAAACAUCACAUUUCGUAGACAUCAGUGACAUGAUGACAUCAGUUUCAGCUUUUGAUCUUUUCCCCGUACGGUCAAAUUUCGAUUGAAAAUAUCACCUAACUGUUCCCACGAGUCUGUCUUUAUUGAAUCUGUAUAAUACUUGGGUUCUUACAGAAUUUCUGAUCAUAAAAACGAGAGUAUUCCAAUACACAGUUUAGGCAGUGUAUCAAAAUAUGGCGCACAAAAAGAAAUUAAAGAUUCAUAUGGUGUUUCCACUUUACAAAAACAAAAAUUAUUGAUCAACCUCGUACCCAGGAUCUUUUGAUUAUUGAUGUGCGAGAUUUCGCAACAGAUUGAUUAAUAAGUUAUUAAUUAUUACUGUCGUUCCAAUUGAAGUGUUGCUCAAAUAUUGAUUCAAUACAUUAUCUCGGGCUGACCAAUUCAUUUCAUCAAGUUCCUCGAGAUAUUCAUACACUUCCUAGUAUAAUUGUAAACAGGGGCGUAGGAAGCAUCAAAAAGUUGGGGGGGCUUCGGUUUCGAGGGGCACUUUUAGAAUGAAAAGGGCACCAGAAAUUUUUUCCCAAGAAAUGUUGGCGACGGGGGGAGGGGGGGAGUGGAAGCAGGGCCGUACCUAGCAUGUAUAGUUCAGGGGUGUAGGCCAAAAAUUUCCGAAUGACGAAAAAAAUUUCCGAAUAUUUCAUGGCCUACGAAGGUGUUUGCUAUCCGGAAAAUGAAGACGCAAUUUACAAACAAAACUGACGCAUAUUUUACGCACAGGUGUAUUACAGAAGCAUGCAAUGCCGUAGGAAUCUCUUUUUGAUUGGGGUUGAGAACGAGGGCCAAAGGCCCGAGGAAAUUUUUAAAUUUAGAGUCUCUGAAAUGCCAUUUCCUGGACUUUAGAAAAGUUUUGACAGAGUUCUGAUGGUCAGAGAACAACGUUUUAGUAUGUCGAAAUUUACAAUUUGCUUGCAAUUUAGUUGUACUAAAUGGGCGAAGGCAUAUUUAAUUAACUAUAUAUUGGGGAAGUUGAAAGUAUGGAUAAUAUGAUUCUUUGCAGUUUGUCGUGCAUAAUGUAACCGCUUAAAAUUAAUCAAUUGUCAUUAUUUUAAAGGUAUACUAUUUAAAUGAUCAAGAUCUGCAUGAUUUUGAAAAAAGAAUGGUUAAUAUUAGCAAAUUAUUGGUAGAGCUGCUCCCCCCCCCCCCUCGCGGUUGCUUCGGCCCUGAGAAGUAAUAAACCGAAAAACAUUUACCGAUUUACGAUUUCAGUUAAAUGGUAUCCACG